CACCACUUGCUAGCUACAUCAGAAGAAAUUACGUCAAAAAUCCAGGUUGGGGGAGAGCACCCCCAUUUAUCCAGCUAAGUGUUUCUACUCACGUUUAUACUUUACUCCAAUAGUAAAGAUGCAUAAUCAUAAAAACCUAAAUAAAGAUUUUGUGCUUAUAUAUAUAUAUCUUUGCUUAGUUUGCUAAAUAAAUAAAUAAAUAAAGUUUGCUAUGAACCCUCAUGAUAAGCUCUCACAUGGAAAUGAUGAAUAGUUGCUCUACCAUGACUAAAUCUAAAUCUCUCUCAAGUUUAGGGAUGACUGUUAUUAAUUAAGAUUUGCUCUAAACCUAAACUUGUGGGGAGAGUACUUGAUCUAUAGUCUAAGUCGUUAACGGAUAUGAUAUGGGAAGGUUGAGCUGCCCUUUAUCUGUUCCUAGAGAUGCUAGAAUUCUCGAGAAUUUUAUCUUUGAAAAUCUUUAAAAUAUUGCAUGAUGAGUUCCUGUAUGAUGAGAGUUUAAAUUCCUACCACAGCCAUAUAUACAUGCUUGCUAGACUUUGAGCCACACAUUUACUUUUUACUGCUUAUGAGUAUUGAGUGUGGUCAAGCUGUGUAGACCCUUAGGAGCUUGUCAUGUGGUUAAAUCAAGAUUCACUUGCACGUUCACUCAUACAUGCUGCUUCUACUCUAGAAGUACGCAUCACAUAUAUCCAUCCAUUUCCAUCUCCAGAACCACCCAAAAAUAUUCUACUCCUAAUCCGGGAGAGAAUAGCCAAAAAUAUUUCUGUUUUUCCCCUGUGAAAUAAAUGCUCAAGUUAUCUUGGUUACUACCACUUGCUAUAUUAUUUCAGGAGAUGAGUGCUCUAAUAUAAAAAAAAGAGAGAAAAAAAUAUAUAAAUACGAGGAAAUAAAAAGGGGCAAGUGCCCGGAACCUCGAAAGAAAAGAAAAAAAAAGUGAGACGAGAGGUAAAAAUGGACAAGUGUCCGACAGUAGAAUUAGGGGUACAAGAUACCCACCUGAGAGAAAAGAAAAAGAAAAUAUAGAGCAUCUCAUUCUCCUCAAAAAGUUUCAAAAGAGCAAGAAAGGUAUGUAUCCCCUCAAAAGAGCAUAAGUAGAAUUAGGCUUUCACCAUUGUUGUCACCAUCAUCACCAUACACCAUUCAUUCGCCACACAUGCACAUCUUGAUUUGACUUAUUGACUUGUUCUUCUGGAUCCAUGGUUUGACUAUGCAAUAAAUGUCUUGUAAGUAUGUAUUAGCUGUCUCCCACCUAUGAGCUCCAGAUAUCAAAACUUUAUUAGAGUAGGGUGAGAGAGAAGGCAAUGCCACUAUGCCUUAUACCACAAAUACCACAUACUUUGAGAGAAGUCAUAUACCAUUACUGCCUUGGCAAGGAUCCAGAAAUACCACAAAAGAGAGACUAGAGAGAGUCUUACAAGGAAUCUCUGAGUUUUAUUUAAAAAUCUGCAAAAACUCCAGAGCUAUAGUUAAUCGAAGAACAAGAGACAUGGUGCUUGACUAGACCGUUCUAUCUUUUAACUGCUCAAGAAACAAGUGACGGUUACAAGUCCCAUGGUGAAAGGUAAAUGUGUAAGUUUUAAGUCUUAACAGUUUACCCUAACCCAGAGAUGAGUUCUUGUUUAAACGCAUGUGUAUCUUUAAGUUAUGAAACCACUGCAGAAACUCUUGAGUCCAUCUUUGCUCAGGGACGAGCAAAGGUUAAGCUUGGGGGAGCUUGUUGACGGUCCUUAAUGCUCACAUUUAACCAUCAACUAAUCAUAGAAAAGGAUCCAAAUGCAACCAACACCUAGACUUAGGGUUUUAUCUGACAGAAUUCCACGAGUUUUAGUGUUUGUCUAUUUCUGCAGGGGGUUAUCAGGAAAUAUGGAAGAAAGGCCCACACGUCGGGUUUACAUAGAGAUAUUAACGUGCCGCGCAAUUUUCUAUCAUCUAGAAGACUCCAGAAGCCACGGGACCGAAGCGGAGGCCGAGAGGGCUCAGGCACAGGGCGCCCGCCCUAGUCUCUUGGGCGCCCGCCCACUUCCAGAGACCAAUUCGGUCACGUUUCGCGGACAACGCUCCACCGACCUAAAGGAUCAAGGAAAACCGUGCGAUCAAUGUCGGUUUGAUCCGACGGCCCAGAUUCACUUGAAGGGACUAUAAAACCAGACCCCCUGGCCCCUGGAGAUCAUACCUCUUCUACAGAAUCAAAGUUAGGGUUUCAAUUCUUCAUCCAAGUAGAGAGGAUCCCUCUAGUUCUUCUAGUUCUACCUCUAGUUCAUCUAGAUCUAGUUCUAGUUCAUCUAGUUCUAGUUCUAGUUCUUCUAGUUCUAGUUCUAGUUAGUUCUAGUUGUAAUCUAGAAAAUAGGGAGAGAGAAGAGGAGAGCGGAGGAGGAGCCAGAUCUGUCGGAUCUUCCUCAACAUUAUACUUUUGCAGCAUCUGGUUCGUUCUUCAUCGUUCUCCAGGUUCUUCAAUUCAUAACUCCUGAGUUCUCUAAUUACUUUUAUUUACAUUCAAGUUAUUUAUUGGAUUCCCGCUUGCAUCAAGUGCUCUAGUCUUUAUAACGCUAGAGUAGUAAUUAAUAGAUUAGACGUGGUGUUUAGUCUUGUGAUUACCUGGAAUUGCACCCAAUCCUACGGAUUGUUGUGGUAGCCCUAGGGUAGUGACAGCCCUAACGGUCGACGUAUUCCACCACGUUCGGAUCGGUGUUUGUAGGACCGUAGUCAGACCUUCCUAGCCCCCUUCUCAUCUCUUUCUGUGGUUAGUGCUCUGAUGUCCCGAUAUAGAUAAUCUUGAAGUAAUUCUUGAUUCUUAGAUCAACUAGAGAACUCUCAGGAAACUUCCUCUCUUCCCACCAAAAAUAAUUAUAUAGUUAUCCUUGGGCGAUCUUGGAUCUUAAUUAGUACACUCACGUUCUCUGUGGAAAAUCGAUACUCUGGAAUACUCCCGGGUGAAAGCUACAUCGGUAUCCGUGCGCUUGCGGAUUUUUCUGUUUGCGUAUAAAAUACCCAACAAUCAUGAUAAGCUUUGAGUAGAUGAUGAUGCUUAUGCUAUGCACAUGAUUAAUGCAACCAUAACAAUGGGGUGUUACACUAGUCUUCUUUGAUCCUUGAAUUCUGUAGAGCUCAAAUAGACAACAAAGCUUUGUGGAACUGGUUAAGUGUUAGCAUAAAUAUCUAGCCUUUAUCAUGUUGAGCCUCCUCAAUAAAUAUUACUCUAUUUAGUAGGAUCAUUAAUCUAUUUUUAUAUUUUUAUUUUUAUAGGACAGGAAUAUAUUUAUUUCAUUUUUUACGCCACCACAGUGAAUGUACUUAUGGGUUUUAUGCCAUGAGCAUACUCACAUGGGCUUACUAUUUUUAACAUUUUUAUUUUCUUUUUGAGAUGAUAUGAACCUAAUUAACUAAGCAAACUAUUUUAAAUAAUUGAAAGAAAAGGAUAACUACCAAGUUUACCUCUUGGCAAGGCGUUCGGUGUUUUUAAGUCCUCCGAACGGGACUCUCCUGUAUUCUGAGUCAUCCUAGGAUUCGCUCGAUGGCGUAGUCGGUGGUUCCGGCGGCGCCUGCUCUUCAUGUAUAACUAUCUUCUCUCUCCACACCUGACUCAGUGCUACGAUCUCCUCAGGACAGUUCUGUUCAAGUUGUAUGUCUUCAGACCUUACAACUUCUCCUUCAUAGUCUGCCCAUCCGUCCUUGAUAAUUUGCCUCCUCUGGUUGCGGUUGCGUCGUCUUCUUCUUGUCCUGACCUGCUUAGAGUCUUCAACUAUAUGGUUAGGGUCAGCAAAAUAGCAGCGUACCUUCUCAGAGGGGAAAUGCAUGUGGACUCCGCAGGUUCCAAAGUAGAUGAUUGCUUUAACGGUGCUAAGGAACGGUCUUCCAAGGAUGAUGGGUGGAUUGUACUCGUCUUCUCCCAUGUCAAUAACCUUAAAAUCAUCUGGAGCAGAUAAGUGACUGCGGCCAUUAUGUUGACGUCAGAUCCGGUGUCGUAGAGUGUCUUCUGCAAGUUGUAUCCAUUAAUGGAGCACUGGAUGCUUGGUAUAUCUGGGUCAUCCUUUUUGGUCAAGAACAGUGACUUAGAUCGACGAUCUUGACCUCCUUGAACUGUAGUGACCAUCUUAGCUGACUUGGUCCACAUUUGCUUGUUCCUGUUCCUCUUGUUGGUCCUCUUCCUUGGUUCAUGUCGGGAUUGCUCUAGAAUUUGUGUAAUCUUGUUCUUGAAGGAAAACGUCUCAUUUCUCCCUUUGAUGUAGAAACUGAUCUUGGCAGCGCUAGCGUGGAUGACAGCUCCCGAGGUGUUCAGGGAUGGCCUCCCUAGGAUGAUGGGUGCCCUCUCAUUAGUACCAGUCUCUAUCACCACGAAGUCUGCUGGGGCGUACAAGGUACCAACUCGGACGCAGAGGUUCCUGGGCAUAAUGUUGAUGCUGGAGCCAAAGUCGCAGAGUGCUUCUAGGAAGUCCACCAUGCCGAUGGAGAUCGGGAUGACGGGGCGUCCUGGAUCACCUCUCUUGACUGGCAGAAGGUCAGUAAUUACUUCCAAAACGGGGUUACUCCAGUAGUUAUGUCCUCAAGCAUCUCAGGGCAGUGAUUGCCUGAGUGUCCAGUAUCUCCAGUAUGUUUGUGCUCGUAGAUCUAGGUUCUUCACUUGGUGAGUCUGGGAGUUGUAAAAGUCCUUCAUAUUUUGCUCGAAGUGUACCUGCUCAUAAAGACAAGGCAGAGAUCAAGUGCAUGGGCCCUGUUGGUGGAAAGCACCAACAGAACCAAAAGUGUAUUUGUUCUCUCUAACCUUAAGCAUAGCAAGACAAAGUUGAUGGAUAAUAAGAUCAUGAGUGUAGCAUUUAAAACAUUUGUUAGAUCAGAUUGCUCAACCUAAUGGAAAGAUAAUCUAUCUAUACUUAUGUGUUUUCUCUUUUUUAUAUAUAUGUCUUCCAAAGACUGAGUGUGCAACACUUUAGCUCAUAUGAUUAGGAGUGUGGGAUCACAAAGGUGGAAGGACUAAACAUGUUGAAUCAGUUGGGUUGGUUAAUCUAGAUUUGUAAAUCAUACAUGUUUGUCUCUUUUAUUCAUGUGAACGCCAGAACCAAGGAGAAGCUUAUAGAAGUGAUAGUCAAGUACCUUAAGAUGUUACCUUACUUGAAGAGUGAUGGUACAGUAUCACCUUGUGGAAGUUUUCCUUUCUUAGCGGUUAUGCAUCGUGUUUGUGGCACCCUCCAUGGAUCAUCUCUUGUGAGCUUUGCCUUCCAUGUGUAAAUUGUUAAACUUCAUGUGUCUCUCCCUUUCUCUCCAAUGUGAGUUUAUCUCAGGACUUCCCAGGUCGAUAUUGAAAGUACUCCUGCAGUGGUUAGUCCAACAGAAUAUCCAAUAUCUACUAUAGCAAACUAUCGGCUCAAAAAUCAACCUAGACACCAUAUCCAAUUUGAUUUAGUAGGGCAUUUUAACCUAAGCAUCAUGCUUAAUUUAAAAUCCUUUGGAAGUAAGAUCAGCAUUCCUAAACUAAGCACCAUGCUUAAUUAAGAGAUAAAUGAAACUACUCCAAACCUGGACAUAUACUAAAGCAAAUAAAGGUAGCAUGAGAGCCUUUAUAAAGAUCUACUCAAGUGGAGAUGAAGUAGUGUGAUUAGUAUUUAACAAAAUGAGCAUGUCUCAAAGGUAGGGACAACCAACAUAGAAACAUGGCAAAGGAUGUUUUUAUGUAAAGUACUCCCCCAAGCUUGAAUUUUGAAAAAUUCAAGUUUGGAUGAAUUGAAUUCAAUGUUGUAUGAUGAUUGGUUGGACAUACCUUGUGCUUGUCAUUCAUCCGAUCUUCUUGCUCCAAUCCUGGAAAGGUUAGUGACAAGAAUACCCGAAGGAAUAUUUUCACAAUUAUCCUCAUAUGCUCAAUACACAAGGUAAUGUUGCAAAUAAUUAAAAGCUCAUGUUACAAUCUGAUCAGUGCUUGUUUUAGGACACUAAGCUUGUCCUUGGGAAACCAUCAAUUUAUGACGGCGAAGUGGUUUCCCCUCCAACGCUGACCUAUAUCAAGAUCAACUCAACGAGAUCUGCAAUAUUUAAUAUAGACAUAUGCAUCGACAACCACCCUUUUAAAGUUUUUAUAAAUAGAAAGGAUGAGGGGGUUGGAGAUCUCGAAUGUGGUAAUGUUGGAAAAACCAAUGGAUUGGGAAAAUGUUGCAUAUGAGCAUGGAGUAAAUGAAGUGGCUAUGAAAUAAAUUCCAUGCUCAUUAAUGCUUAGAGUGAAAUCCAUGUGGUAUGGUGAAAAUGAUAAGGUGGGUGUGGUAAAAAAGGAAAAGAAAAAGGAUACACGGACGACUUGGUUCGAAACUAGCACAGCUACCGUUCCCCGGCAACGGCGCCAGAAAACUUGUUGGGUAUUUUAAACGCAAACAGAAAAAAUCCGCAAGCGUACGGAUACCGAUGUAGCCUUCACCCGGGAGUAUUCCAGAGUAUCGAUUUUCCACAGAGAACGUGAGUGUACUAAUUAAGAAUCAAGAUCGCCCAAGGAUAACUAUAUAAUUAUUUUUGGUGGGAAGAGAGGAAGUUUCCUGAGAGUUCUCUAGUUGAUCUAAGAAUCAAGAAUUACUUCAAGAUUAUCUAUUUUGGGACAUCUGAACACUAACCACUGAAAGAGAUGAGAAGGGGGCUAGGAAGCUCUGACUACGGUCCUACAAACACCGAUCCGAACGAGGUGGAAUACGUCGACCGUUAGGGCUGUCACUACCCUAGGGCUACCACAAUAAUCCGCAGGAUUGGGUGCAAUUCCAGGUAAUUGCAAGACUAAACACCACGUCUAAUCUAUUAAUUACUACUCUAAUGUUUCAAAGAUUAGAGCACUUGAUGCAAGCGGGAAUCCAAUAAAUAACUUGAAUGUAAAUAAAAGUAAUUAAAGAACUUAGGAAUUAUGAAUUGAAGAACGUGGAGAACGAUGAAGAACGAACCAGUUGGUGCAAAAGUACAAUGUUGAGGAAGAUCCGACAGAUCCGGCUCCUCCUCUGCUCUCCUAUUCUCUCUCCCUAUUUUCUAGAUUACAACUAGAACUAACUAGAACUAGAACUAGAGGAACUAGAACUAGAACUAGAUGAACUAGAACUAGAACUAGAUAAACUAGAGGUAGAACUAGAAGAACUAGAGGGAUCCUCUCUACUUGGAUGAAGAAUUGAAACCCUAGCUUUGAUUCUGUAGGAGAGGUAUGAUCUCCAGGGGCCAGGGGACCUUGCUUAUAUAGUCUUUUCAGAUGAAUCUGGUCCGUCGGAUCAAACCGACAUUGAUCGUGUGGUUUUCCUUGAAGUAUUAGGUCGGUGGAGCAUGAUCCCCGAGCUUCACCCUGAUUGGUCCAGGGGGGAGGGCGGGCGCCUAGUAAGGGAGGGCGGGCGCCCAGUGCCUGGCCCCGUCACGUCUCACGUUCGCUCCCGUGGCUUCUGGACUCUUCUAGAUGGUAGAUAAUUGCGCGUCAAGUUAAUAUCCCUAUGUAAACCCGACAUGUGGGCCUUUCUUCCGUAUUUCCUGAUAACCCCCUGCAGAAAUAGACAAACACCAAAACUCGUGGAAUUCUGUCAGAUAAAACCCUAAGUCUAGGUGUUAGUUGCAUUUGGAUCCUUUUCCAUGAUUAAUUGAUGGUUAAAUGUGAGCAUUAAGGACCGUCAACACCUUGGAAGAUAUAAAUGUUAAAAUGGAUAGUUUCUCAUCUGCCAUUAAUGACCAACUUGAGUAUAAUAAAAAGAUAGAAAUAAAGAUAGCAUAGUUGGCUGCUGCAUUGCCUGUUGCCACUAACCCUGAGCAGGUAAAGAAUAUCACUACAAGGAGAGGGAGUUCUACCAAAGAUCCUCCCUACCCAAAAGGUACCAAAAGGCAAGUGGUAAUACCAUCAACAUUACCCACAAUUUUGGAGAAUGAUAACGACAUUCCUAGCUUUGAUGAAUGGCAGGCACGCCAGUGCCACGCACUGAACCCUGGGAUGUAUCCUCCGUUCCAUCCAACCUACCAUCCAUAUGGGUACUAUCCACCACCACCAUUCAUACCCAUAGGAGAAGGUCCCUCAGGUGAAGCUCCAAGGCAUUCAUUCAGUACCUGUGGAGAAAGGACAGAAGACGAAAACAAGGCUUUGAGCAAGGAUGAAGGUCUGAUGCUUCUGGGUUCUUCUAUACCCAUCAACAUUGCAAUGAACAAAUGGCGUUCCAAUCCUACGUCCACACCUCUCUUGCUCAUAAUUAGCAGAAUUGGAUGACCAACGUCAGUGGAACCAACACACCACUCAGACAUUGGCCUCUAUUCAGGAAGGGCAAGACCAAGCCAAUAGCACUCUAAGUGACAUCUUCGCGUUCCUAUAGAUCCCGAAAGAAGACUAGCUUGGGGGAGGACCCCCAUUAUCAAGGUAAGUUUUAUUUUCCCUACAUUUCAAUUUGUUUCCUUUCUCUUUUAUAAAUUUAGAAAAUCAAAUAAAUAUUUGUUAUUUAAUUCGUCUAAGUUUGAGUUUACUUAAAAAUGAAAAGCAAAUAAAAAGGGUGUGUAAUAUAAGUUUGCUUUUCUGCUAAGUUUGCUAUAAAUAAAAUAUGUAGAGAUGAAGAAGGCAUGAUGGAAAUGAUGAAUAGUUGCUCUGCCUUAAUUCUUUUCAAGUACCUAGUUUUAAAUUUGGAUUCUCCCAAGGAUUGGAUAUACUGUUAGACAACUGAAUUUACUCUAUUCUUUAAACCUGUGGGAUCAUAUGCUUAAACUAAGUCUAGGUAGUUGAUGGAUAUGAUAUGAUAUAGUCUGAGCUGCUGUUUAUAAUGUUCCUAGUGCUACUAAAUUCUAGAGAUUUAUUUUAUGGAAUUUAAAAUGAUUCAUGAUGAGUUCUAUGGAUGAUAGAGAGUAUAAAAUUCCUACCACAGCCAUAUUUAUUUAGAAUAGGAAGCCUCCACAUAUAUGUAGGGCUUUUUGUUUGCUGGAGCUGUGUGACCCUUAAGAACUCAUCAUGUGACUAAUCCCGGCAUCACAUACACUCAUGUUCACUUUUUGCUGCUUCCACUCUAGAAGUAUGACCACAUAUACUUACACUGAGAGAGAACACCAAAAAUAUUUCCCUUGCUUAUUUGCUAGCCAAUUAUCUUAAGUUCAAUGCUCCAAGUUUUAUCUCUUAUUCAACUACAAAAUAUUUGUUACAAAAAGAAUUGAUGGGCUGCAAGAAAAUUAAUGGGAAAAAGUUCCAUGAAAGAAAGAAAGAAAAUGAAAGAUCUAUGAGCCCAAGUUUGUUAUCAAAAUUUCAUGUUCAAAGUUAGAGGAAUUAUUCCAAGUAAAGGAGCAUCAGAAUUAUUUUUGCACCCCUUCUCCUUUCACAAAUAUUCUUUAGUUUAGCAUCCACAUAUAAAACCACACAUGCAGAAACUGGUUGGUUAUGUGGUGAGUUUAUUUGGAUCCAUGGUUCGAUCAGACCCAAUGCAUUAGCUAUCUCCACACCUAUGAGCUAAACAUAAGCUUUAUUAGAUAUAGGGUGUGAGAGAGAAGGCUACAAAUGCCUUGUGCCAUAAAUACUACAUAUCAUGAGAGCAAGAAAGAAGGCAUCACUCUUUUCAAUGCCUUAGAGAGGAUCCAAAAAUACCACAUAAUGAGAGACUUGAAAGGAUCAUACUAAAGAACUCUGAGUUUUAUUUUGAAAAUUAUAAAAACUCUAGGAUAGAGGUAGAACAACAGAGCAUGAGACAACAGUGCUUGACUUAAUUGUUCUAUCCUUCAACUGCUCAAGACCCAAGUAUAGGUAGAAGUCCCAUAGUUGGAAGAAACAUGAGUGAUUUUGGAAGUUAUGAUAGUUCACUCUAGUCUAAGGAUGAGUUCUUACAUAAAGCAUGUGUACUUGUGAGGUGUGAAAGCAUUGUAGCAACUCCUGAUUCAUCCUUUGUAGCUAUUUGCUUAGGGACAAGCAAAGGGCAAGCUUGGGGAGUUUGUUGACGGUUGUUAACCAUCAAAAUUAUAUGUCAACAAAGGAUAAGAAAGGGGACAAAAACUGAACAUCACCAUAGACUUAGGAUUUUUACUGACAAUUUCCACGAGUUUUGGUGAAUGUCUGUUUCUACAGGGGGUUAUCAGAAUAACAACUAAAGGAGGUCCAUAUGUCGGAUUUACAUAGGGAGAAGACCUGAACGUCAACUCUAGAUGACACUAGAAGACUCGGAAAGGUGUGCCCUGGAAGUUGGGGCCCACCUGCCAUAGGGCAGGGGUGGGCGCCUAGAGGGGGUAGGGGCGGCCACCCUAGGUCUACAACCAAUCAGGUGCAGUCUCGUAGAUCCUGCCUCCAGCGACUUUGAGGAUUAAUCUUAAGCGCACGUUUAUGUCGGUUUGAUCCAAGGGUUGUGGUGCUUCGUAGGGGGCUAUAAUACAAGCCUACCCCCCUUUUAAAAAGCUUAGAAUUGAGAAAGAAAAACACAAUUAUAUUUUUAUUCUCAUCUAAGAAUUAGAGAGAACCAUCAGAGCUAGUGAUUAGAGAUAGAUUUGCUACUCAUAAUCUUCAUCUUAUAUAUAGGAUUAGAUUAGAUAGAGGAAGAGUCUAGCGCCUGUGCUCAGAAUUUCUAGAUCUUUGUCAUUAGAGAUUGGUAUUAUCUUUUAUCUCUCUUUUGACUUUAUUCUAAAUAUUUUUAUGCUUCUAUUUAUUAUGUUCCUAGUUUAUUCUAGUUCUACAUUUGAUAUGGUUAUGAUUGAUAAUGAGUUUAUGUAUAUGUUUGCAAAGCGCUUAGCCCUCUUCGCAGGAGAAUUAUGUGAUACAUGUCAUGUAAGCAUGGUGCUUAGAUGUCGUUUAUCUGCAAUUACACCCUAUUGGUCGGGUUGUGUGGUAGAUCGCAGAAGUGACAGUUCUGUUAAGUCCUUUGUAUUCCAUCCCCGUUGGUAGGACAGGUAGAACUAAAGUUGCGUAGGAAGUCCAGCUUUGUCUUGACUUUUUAUAGAAAUGUUCCUUAUAUAUAAAUGAAGAGUCUUUUGUUCUAUAUAUUAUAAUGUAGCAUUAGAGUAGAUGAAUGACUUGAUAAAUUAUUACUACAUAGGAUUUUCUAUCUCUUGAACUAAUCGGACAUCUGUUUAAUAUUAAGCUGAGUAGUCUAUAUGUAGUCUCUAUAUUCCCUGGGCUUCUAUAUUUUAUAUAUCAUAUAUCUAUGGUUUACCAUCUGCUAUUAAUGACCAACUUGAGUAUAAUAAAAAUAUAGAAAUAAAGAUAGCAAAGUUGGUGUUGGGUAUUCUUAACGUCAUUACCAAAAGUAGACUUAGUUUUCUAAUUCUAAUAACGGCGUCAAAAAUGCUAAACCUAUCCCUCAUACCACUUAAGCCAAGUUGUCAUCCCCAGCAUGACAUGAGAGACGCGGUAUUGACAUAUGCAAUUGCUCAUCUAAAUAAAUAAUAAAUGGGAUCUGCAAGCGCACAGAUUAAUACCGAUGUAGCAUUUUAACCGGGAAGUAUUCCACGAAUCGUUAUUUAUAUUUUUACCACUGGGAAGGGAUUAGCAAUCAUCAAUAUUGAUUAUAGAAUGGAAUAUAAGAUUGAGUAUCUAUCAUUGCAUAUAUAAUUGAGAACAUCUAUCUAUCUCUUUCAUACAGGGAUAAGUGUCACAUAAAAGAUAUAUAAAGUAAUGAAUAGCGACAAAGGUAAUUAAUCUGAUAAGCAUAACUUAGCCACAUAAUGAAUAUGAUAAGCACCUCAAUUAGAUAUUCUAGCAAGUCAUUAGCAUGGAGUUAGAACGAACUACAAGAAUAUUUCCUAAGUUAUUCUCAACUAUACAGUCUAGCAUAUCAUAGUUAGUGCAAUUAUACUUAGCAAUCAUUGCGAGACAAGACUACGCCCAUGCAUAGUGAUAUUAGCAAGGAAUAUGAGAAACAUCGUAAUCACUCCCCUGUAAUAAUGUUGCUCUGCCAGCCCAAUACACGAGAGGGGGACUAUAUAAGAAUCCAUAGAGCUGUCACUAACACGAACUACCCAUCGAUCUAGCAUAUAGGGUACAAUCAUAGAUAAAUACGAUAUAAGCACCACGCCUACACAAUAUCUAUCAUUUACCCAUAGAUCCGAUGGAUAAACGCUAUACGAUCCUAAACAUGUAUAUAAAUCCAAUCUAACUAAGCCAAGUAUAUAACUAUGAUAGACUAAGAACAAUAUAAUUGCGAAUAUAAACAAGUAGAGCAAAGUCAUAAUCAAUAUAUUGAAGUAGAACAAAGUCAUAUUCAUAAUAUUGAAGAACAAAGAUGAACAAUUGGAGAACAAUAGAGAAUUACCAAGAAUCCUCUUGACAGAUCCGGAAACCAAUCGAAGAUUGACUCCUUCUAGUUCUAAUCCUAUGUAGCUAUGCUAAUCUAGAUGUCUAAUUGAUGUGGUGGCUCUAGGCUUGAUUAGAGGCUUCUUCUCCGUUGAUGAAAAAUGAAUUAGGGUUGAGAGCUCCCCUCCUCCAGGGGCCAGGGGUCUGGUUUUAUAAUCCUUCCAAGUGAAUAUGGGCCGUCGGAUCAAACCGACAUUGAUUGAACGGUUAUCCUUGAUCCUUUAGGUCGGUGGAGCUUAAUCCCGAAAGAGAGUCCUGAUUGAACUCUAAAGGGGGGCGAGUGCCCUGGUCUUUCUUCCGUAUUUCCUGAUAACCCCCUACAGAAAUAGACAAACACCAAAACUCGUGGAAUUCUGUCAGAUAAAACCCUAAGUCUGGAUGUUGAUUGUAUUUGGAUCCUUUUCUUUAUUUAUUUGAUAAUUAAAUUUGGUACUUAAGGACCAUCAACAAACUCCCCCAAGCUUACCCCUUGCUCGUCCCUGAGCUAGGAUAAUCUCAGCGAUGGAUCAGAAGUUGUUGUAAUGCCUUUAAAAGUUGACGGUACACAUGCUUUUAAAUAAGAUCCUAUCUCUGAGUUAGAGUAAACUGUCAAGACUUAAAACUUAUUCAUUUUACCUUUCACCAUGGGACUUGUAACUGUCACUUUUGUCUUGAGUAGUUAAAAGAUAGAACAGUCUAGUCAAGUGCCAUGUCUCUUAUUCUUGAUCAGCUAUAGCUCUGGAGUUUUUUGUAGAUUUUCAAAUAAAACUCAGAGGUUCCUUGUAUGACUCUCUCAGAUCUCUCUUUUGUAGUAUUUCCGGAUCCUUACCAAGGUAGUAAUGGUAUAUGCCUUCUCUCAAUGUAUGUGGUAUUUGUGGUAUGAAGCAUAGUGACAUUGACUUCUCUCUCAUCCUACUCUAAUAAGGCUUUUAUAUCUAGAGGUCAUAGGUGGGAGAUAAAGUAUACAUACUCACAAGACAUUUAUUGUAUAGUCAAACCAUGGAUCCAAAGAAACAAAUCAAUAAGUCAAAUCAAGAUGUGCAUGUGUGGCGAAUGAAUGGCGUAUGGUGAUGAUGGUGAUAACAACAGUGAAAGUCUAAUUCUAGUUUUUGCUCUUUUGAGGGGAUAUAUACCUUUCUUGCUUUUUGAAACUUUGUGAUGAGAAUGAGAUGCUCUUCUUUUUCUUUCCUCUCAGGUGGGUAUUUUGUAACCCUAAUUCUACUGUCGGACACUCGUCCAUUUUUACCUCUUGUCUUACUUUCUCUUUUCUUUCGAGGUUCCGGGCACUUGCCCCUUUUUAUUUCCUCGUAUUAUUUUUCUCUCUCUUUUUUUAGAGCACUCAUCUCAUGAGAUAAUAAUAUAGCAAGUGGUAGUAACCAAGAUAAGUUGGGCAUUUAUUUCAUAGGGGAAAAACAUAAAUGUUUUUGGCUUUUCUCUCCCAGAUUAGGAGUAGAAUAUUUUUGGGUGGUUCUGGAGAUGGAAAUGAGUGGAUAUAUGUGGAUGCGUACUUCCGGAGUAGAAGCAGCAUAUGUGAGUGAAUGUGCAAGUGAAUCUUAAUUUUAACCACAUGACAAGCUCCUAAAGUGACAACUUCAUUGAUUCUUAUAUAGUCCCCCUCUCGUGUAUUGGGCUGGCAGAGCAACAUUAUUACAGGGGAGUGAUUACGAUGUUUCUCAUAUUCCUUGCUGAUAUCACUAUGCAUGGGCGUAGUCUUGUCUCACAAUGAUUGCUAAGUAUAAUUGCAUUAACUAUGAUAUGCUAGACUAUAUAGUUGAGAAUAACUUAGGAAAUAUUUUUGUAGUUCGUUCUAAUUCCAUGCUAAUGACUUGCUAGAAUAUCUAAUUGAGGUGCUUAUCAUAUUUAUUAUGUGGCUAAGUUAUGCUGAUCAGAUUAAUUAUCUUUGUCACCAUUCAUUACUUUAUAUCCUUUAUGUGACACUUACCCCUGUAUGAAAGAGUUAGAUAAAUGUGCUCAAUUAUACAUGAAAUGAUAGAUACUCAAUAUCAUAUUCCAUUCUAUAACCAAUAUUGAUGGUUACUAAUCCCUUCCCAGUGGUAAAAAUAUAAAUAACGGUACAUGGAAUACUUCUCGGUUAAAAUGCUACAUCGGUAUUAAUCUGUACGCUUGCAGAUCCCAUUUAUUAUUUAUUUAGAUGAGCAAUUGCAUAUUUCAAUACCGCGUCUCUCAUAUCAUGCUGGGGAUGACAACUUGGCUUAAGUGGUAUGAGGGAUAGGUUUGGCAUUUUUGGCACCGUUAUCAGAAUUAGAAAACUAAGUUUACUUUUGGUAAUGAUGUUAAGAAUACCCAACAAGCAUUUUUGGCGCCGUUGCCGGGGAAGGUUGAUUACUAAUCAAGAAUGAAUAUAGGAUUUUGAGUUAUCAUUCGCAUCACUAAUAUGAUUGAGCUUAUCAAUUCUCUCAUACAGUUUUACCCUGAUAUUUUUCUAUUUUUAUCUUAUGCAGGGUAAUGUAUGAAUAGAAGACAUCUUCUAGGAAAUUUUGUUGACAAUCCUGAAGCAUUAUUGAGAAAAACAAGAGCCAAGCUCAAGAAAAGAUCAUCAACACUUUUGCAAGAAGCUUCAUCCAAUCAAGAAGAUCACCGGAACUUGACUUCAGAGUUCGAAGCCAUGGCGAACAAAUCGAUCCGUGAGUUCUCAGCUCCCACUACGAAUAACAUCUGCACUGGACCUGCUGCAGAGAUCGAUGGCAACUUUGAGGUCAAGCCUGGACUUAACAACAUGGUGCAAUCCAACCAGUUCUGUGGGAAGGCACACGAAGAUGCUAGUGCUCAUCUCCAACACUUCCUAGAGAUUUGCACCACAUUCACAAUAUCAGGAGUCCCCAGAGAUGCUAUACUACUUCGCCUCUUCCCAUUCUCACUGUUAGUAAGAGCAAAGCAGUGGUUUUACACUACAAAGGAGAAGAAUACUACGUGGGCACUCUGCUCCACAAACUUCCUGGCUAAGUUCUUUCCCAUGGGCAAGACCAAUGCUCUCCGUGGGAAGAUUACAAGUUUUCAGCAACAACAUGAUGAAUCUGUUCUAGAAGCAUGGGAGCGCUUCCAAGACUACAUCCUAGAAUGUCCCCAUCAUGGAAUGGAGAGUUGGCUACUGAUGCAGACAUUUUAUCAUGGGCUCGGCAACAGUGCUCUAGAGACCAUGGAUGCUGCAGCCGGAGGAGCAUUCCUAUCACUUACCAUAUCACAAGCCACAGCUCUUGUGGAGAAGAUGGCAUCCAAUCAAAGCUGGAAUGAAGAGAGGACCCAGACACGCAAGAAAGGUGGAGGUAUGCAUCAGCUCAAGGAGGUAGACAUGCUAUCUGCAAAGCUAGACCUGCUCAUGAAGAAGCUCGAUGAUAGAGCUGGAAUUAAGAAAGAAGUUAUACACAUCUACGACUCUCAUAUGACUUGUGAGGAGUGUGGAGACACUAGACACUCAGGCAAUCACUGCCCUGAGAUGCUUGAGGAUGUGAACUACAUCAACAAUAACAACAACAACUAUUACAAUCGUCCUCAACAAAAUCAAGGUUGGAAUCAACAAAGGCCUAACCACUCAGGUAAUUAUCAAGGUAAUAAUUCUUACAACAAUAAUAAUAAUUUUCUACCUCUGAGAGAGUUAGUGUCUAAUCAAGGAAAGCUAAUGGAUAACCUAUCUAAGAAUUUGGCAUCUAAUGAUAAAAUGAUAGAAAAUAUAAAUAAUAGAAUGAAUAAUUUCUCUAGUGCCAUCAAGAAUCAAAUUAGCUUUAAUAAAAUGAUUGAAUCUCAGUUAAAUCAUAUAGCUACCAUUGUUCCUGCUACUAACCCCGGUAUACCAUCACAACCGGAAGGAUUAGAAUCUGCAAAUCUUGUAGACAUGUUUGAUGCAGGUAAUUGGAGUAGCCCCGUCACUGAAGUUACUACGGACCUUCUGCCGGUCAAGAGAUGCGAUCAAGGACGCCCCGUCAUCCCGAUCUCCAUCGGCAUGGUGUACUUCCCAGAAGCACUCUGCGACUUUGGCUCUAGUGUCAACAUUAUGCCCAGGGUACUCUAUGAAAAAUUAUUUACAUAUCCUUUAUUAGAGACAACCAUGUGUUUGCAGUUUGCAGAUCAGACGAUAAGUUUUCCAAAAGGAAUAUUGAAGAACCUUUGUGUUUGAGUUGGUACCUUAUAUGCCCCAGCAGACUUCGUGGUGAUAGAGACCGGUAAUGAUGAGAGGGCACCCAUCAUCUUAGGGAGGCCAUUCUUAAACACAUCGGGAGCUGUCAUCUACGCUAGUGCUGCCAAAAUCAGUUUCUACAUCAAAGGGAAGAAGGAGACAUUUUCCUUCAAGAAUAAGACUACACAAAUCCCAGAGCAAUCUCGACAUGAAUCAAGGAAGAAGACCAAUAGGAGGAACAGGAACAAGCAAGUGUGGACCGAGUCAGCUAAUAUGGUCACUGCAGUUCAUGGAGGCCAAGAUCAUCAACUUAAGUCACCAUUUUUGACCAAGAAGGAUGACCCAGGAAUGCCAAGCAUCGAUUGCUCCAUAAAUGGAUACAACUUCUACAAGACGACUUGUGACACCGGAUCGGGCGUCAACAUAAUGCCCGCAGUCACCUAUCGGCUUUUGUUUGGAACCAUGCCCCUAAAACCAACAUACAUUCAACUCUAGAUGGCAGAUCAAACGUUUUGAGAAGUUAAAGGAAUGUAACUGAUGUCCCUAUCAAAAUAGACGAUCAUUUUGUCUACACAGACUUUCAGGUUAUCGACAUGGGAGAAGACGAUUACGAUCCACCCAUCAUCCUUGGAAGACUGUUCCUCAGCACCGUUAAAGCAAUCAUCUACAUUGGAACCGAAGAAGUCCAUAUGCACUUCCCCUCAGAAAAGGUACACCACUAUUUUACUGACCCUAACUAUAUCGUUGAAGACUCUGAGCAGGUCAUAAAACGACGCAGCCGCAACGAGAGGAGGGAAAUCAUCAAGGACGGAUGGGCAGACUAUGAAGGGGAAGUGGUAAGGUCAGAAGACAUACAAUUUAAACAGAACUAUCCUGAGGAGACCGUAGCACCAAGUCAGGUGUGGAAAGAGACGAUAACUAUACAUGAAGAGGAGGCGCCGCCGGAAGUACGGACUACGCCACCCAACGAAUCCCAGGACAAUUGAGAAAACGGAGAGUCCCGUUCGGAAGACUUAAAAACACCGAACGUCUUGCCAAGAGGUAAACUUGGUAGUUAUCCUUUCCCUUUCAAUUAUUUAAAAUAGUUUGCUUAGUUAAUCAUGUUCAUACUAUCCUAAAAAGAAAAUAAAAAUGUUAAAAAAUAGUAAGCCCCAUGUGAGUAUACGAGUGGCAUGAAACCCAUAAGUACAUUCACUGUGGUGGCAUAAAAAUAAAAUAAAUAUUUCUUUUCUGCUUUAUAAAAUGAAAAUAUAAAAAUAGGGAGUAACAUUUAUUGAGGAGGCUCAACAUGAUAAAGGCUAGAUACUUAUCCUAACACUUAAUUAGUUCCACAAAGCUUUGUUGUCUAUUUGAGCUCCACAGAAUUUAAGAAUCGAGAAGACUAGCAGACGGAGGACAUUCUAAUCGCUGUCAAGAUACUGCCGACUUUCAAAUACACCUCUGCCACCUGCUAGCUACAUCAAGAGAAAUUAUGUCAAAAUUCAGCUUGGGGGAGAGCACCCCCAUUUAUCCCACUAAGUAUUUCUAUCUAUCUUUAUACUUAUACUAUAUUAAAAUAUAGAUAUACAUAACUAUGGAAAACCAAAUAAAGAUUUUGCGCAUAUAUAUAUAUAUAUUUUGCUAGUUUGUUUAAUAAAUAAAUAAAUAAAUAAAGUGGCUAUGCUAAACUGAAUAUUAAUAAUAAAACUCUAGCAUGGAUACGAUGAAUAGUUGCUCUGCCUAAUUUUUAAAUUUGAGUUCACUCUCAAGUUUAGACAUAACUGUUAUAAUUUAAAGCUUGAUCUAAACCUGAACUUGUGGGAAGAAAACUUGAUCUGAAGUCUAAAUUGUUAACGGAUAUGAUAUGGGAAGGUUGAGCUGCUGUUUAUCUGUUUCUAGAGAUGCUAGAAUCCUGGAGAAUUUUAUCUUUGAAAAUCUUUAAAAUAUUGCAUGAUGAGUUCCUGUAUGAUGAGAGUUUAAAUUCAUACCACAGCCAUAUAUACAUGCUUGCUAGACUUUGAGCCACACAUUUACUUUUACUACUUAUGAGCAUUGAGUGUGGUCAGGCUGUGUAGACCCUUAGGAGCUUGUCAUGUGGUUAAAUCAAGAUUCACUUGCACGUUCACUCACACAUGCUGCUUCUACUCCGGAAGUACCAUCCACAUAUAUCCACCAAUUUCCAUCUCCAGAACUACCCAAAAAUAUUCUACUCCUAAUCCGAGAGAGAAUGGCCAAAAACAUUUUUGUUUUCCUCUUUGAAAUAAAUGCUCAAGUUAUCUUGUUACUACCACUUGCUAUAUUAUCUCAAGAGAUGAGUGCUCUCUUAAAAAAAGAUACGAAGAAAUAAAAAGGGACAAGUGCCCGAAACCUCAAAAGAAAAGAAAAAGUGAGACGAGAGGUAAAAAUGGACAAGAGUCCGCAGUAGAAUUAGGAGUACAAGAUACCCACCUGAGAGAAAAGAAAAAAGAAAAUAUAGAGCAUCUCAUUCUCCUCACAAAGUUUCAAAAAGCAAGGAAGGUAUGUAUCCUCUCAAAGAGCAAAAGAUUUAGACUUUCACCAUUGUUAUCACCAUCAUCACCAUAUACCAUUCAUUCGUCACACAUGCACAUCUUGAUUUGACUUAUU
rnacentral:lncRNA from 1 species